UACGGAGGGGGCUAGCGUUGUUCGGAAUUACUGGGCGUAAAGCGCGCGCAGGCGGUCGUUCAAGUCGCGUGUGAAAGCCCCCGGCUCAACUGGGGAGGGUCACGCGAUACUGAUCGACUGGAAGGCAGGAGAGGGUAGUGGAAUUCCCGGUGUAGUGGUGAAAUGCGUAGAUAUCGGGAGGAACACCAGUGGCGAAGGCGACUACCUGGCCUGUUCUUGACGCUGAGGCGCGAAAGCUAGGGGAGCAAACGGG
rnacentral:rRNA from 1 species